rnacentral:lncRNA from 1 species
CCUGACCGGCGCUGGUGAACAAGAUAAGCAGAGCAGAGCGUAUAGCUGGUCAUCCUGCAACGAAACGCAAGUUUACGGAGCUGGUGGUUCGUCCCGGAUUGUAUGCGGCUUCUCGGGCGUAUUUUCGCUCUGUUCAACCUGACGCUAGCAGAAGUUUUCAGACAGCCGUGAUGGCCAUGGCCGAAAUAUCUGGACCGGCCAACGUAAGAUACUCGUAGAUACAAAUCACGAGAAUGCAUGGCCAUUGAGUUGACAGUUGGUUAUUCGUUUUAUUUUUUUGAUUGAUAUAUAUAUAUAUAUGGUAAUGUACAUUUUCGAAUACAAGUAAAACUAAAUGUAGGCGAAAUAUUAUAUUGACAAAAGCAGUGAGAAUUUUGAGCGGGGAUCACCUUGAUCUUAAGCUCGUAGAAUCGUAGGUCGUAGCAUUGCUUACAUGGCUAAGAACAAAUAAUCAAGCAAACCAGAGUACCAAACCUAACAAACUAAAAGAUAUGAAUUAACGGUGCAAUUUUUCUCCCCUCCCGUGUGGCUCACUUCGGGCGAUAAGCUGCCCCGGCAGCCACGGCGGCCGGCGGCCGGCCGCGCUCAUCCUCGGCGGUACGGCGGCCGGCACCGGUCGCCGGGACAGACGCCUCCUCCGCCGCCCCGGCCAGCUCCCUGUAGUCGAUCAGAUGCCUCCUGCUGCUGCCGCCGCCGCCGUGGGAGCUCCCGUCCGGCGACACGCAGCGGUAGCCGCUGUGCUCCUGGCUCCUCCUGAUCGCGUCGAUCACGAACGGUAUCAGCCCCUCCAUUUGUUUUUUUCCCCUCGCCCAAAACCCUCCGAUCCUCUCUGCUCGUCUUCUCGCUGCUGCUUUUCGCGAGCCGUACGUGACACGUUUGCGGUGGUUGGUGUAACACGGUGUGUUACGUGAAUGGUGGCGUCGCGUGGGUAUUUGUAGGGGCCGCGUCGCGGCGGCGGCGGCGCGCGGGGGAAGACGAGACGCGUCGCGCCUGGAGAAGGUGGUUUCCGGUGGGCGCGCGGUCGUUGAUCGGAUGGAAGUGGGAGUAUGGAAGUUUUCUCGUUCGUCGUGUUGCCGUUGUGCUCAUCUGGAUUCAAAUACGAGUAGUCGCUUUCUUCUGUUGCUAAAGGAUAAAUAUUAUCUGAUUUUUUAUACUUCUCACGUUCGUUAUAUAAGACUUUCUAAUCUUAUAUAGAUUUAU